UGCUGCAUGGCUGUCGUCAGCUCGUGUCGUGAGAUGGUUGGGUUAAGUCCGUAACGAGCGCAACCCUUGUCCUUAGUUACCAGCACGUUAUGGUGGGCACUCUAAGGAGACUGCCGGUGACAAACCGGAGGAAGGUGGGGAUGACGUCAAGUCAUCAUGGCCCUUACGGCCUGGGCUACACACGUGCUACAAUGGUCGGUACAAAGGGUUGCCAAGCCGCGAGGUGGAGCUAAUCCCAAUAAAACCGAUCGUAGUCCGGAUCGCAGUCUGCAACUCGACUGCGUGAAGUCGGAAUCGCUAGUAAUCGUGAAUCAGAAUGUCACGGUGAAUACGUUCCCGGGCCUU
rnacentral:rRNA from 1 species